CCCCUUAGACAGCCAGCCCUUAAAUGAGGUUAGGGGGGGCUGGGACCAGGCUCCACCCCUUUUCUGCACAGGUGAAACGCUUCCAGCUGUGCUCCGCAGCAGACCAUGUUUUAACAAAGGUGAAAGCCUGUGAAACAAAAGAAUCCCUUCUUACUUGUUUCACGUUUGUGUUUGUUGACCGCAGUUCCAACCAGGUGGACUCUCAAUGUCUUGCAAGCGACACCUAGAAGCAGGUACAGGCAGGAGGCACAGCACCCUGCAACCUCCAGGGGCCUUUGUGCAAAUGUUCAUGUCCUAGAAGCACGUGGCGGAGCACGUCCUGGGAUCAAGGUGCCAUGGACUGGAAAAUGCAGCUCUGGACAUACAGGCUUGGCGGAGUUCCUGUGUGAAGACAAAACUCCCAGUACUCCAGAAACGUGGAGGCAGAAGAGCAGUGACAAGUUCCAGUCGAAGGUCUCUGUUCAGCCAGUCCAGGAGUGCGUGGGCAGACAAAGAAGCGUUGUGCAGGCAGGGAAAAAUGAGUGCUGUGGGUCCUGGGAGCAGCAAUGCGUGAGGCUCCUCCUGCUUGUGCUCUUCCGCUGGAACGUCCCUUUGGUUUUCUACUUGGGAGAAUAUUUGAACCCGUUGAAAAAGGUCUGACUUGAAGCGAGGGUGCAGAGCAGAUUUAACCUCUGCAGGCGUGUAUGCCAGAGCAUGAAGCAUCGUCAACAAGCACGGGGUAGCACCAGCUUGAAACAGGGGAAGCUUCCACAGAGCCCCCAAAUGGAGUCCCAGGGUGAUGAGAUGAAGCUGAUUUUGGCAGCAUUAAAGGUGGUUUUCCAGGAUCUGUGCCUUCUAGGGCUGGGGGCUGUCACUGGGGUUGCUUUCACAGGACACCCCCCAGCCCACCUCAGGACCCACGGGGAGUCUGUCGGUGACAAAUGUGUCACUGAGUGACAGCAUCAGGGUGGGAAUGUGUGGAACACAGUGCCCAGGGCAGAGCCAAGCGGCGCUGGGGGGGGGUCAGCCCCAAGGAGAAAGCCUCCCCCAUGGAAGAAAUGGAUUGCUUAAUGCCGUGGGUGAGAUGUUGUAGAACAGCAAAUUAAUGAGGUUAAAAGGUGCCGCCCGGGUACUGUGGGAACCUCCUCCCACCCUGCAAGUGCUGUCCAAAGCUCUCCAGUGCCCCCUGCUGCUCUUUGCAGUUCCCCACUAAGCUCCCGUUGUCUCCCAGUAUUGUCCAGUCUCCUUGUGCAAACUCAGUGCCCCCCAGUGCUGCCUGGAGCCACCCCAGUGCUGUAUGCGGCCCUCAGUAGCCUCCCAGUGCCCCCCAGUGGACUUCCCAGUGCCUCCAGUAGUGCCCAGUGCCCCCAGUUCAACACAUGCACUGCUCAGCACGUGACCGUCGCCUUCCCCAGGAACAAAACAAGGCAACAGAGACGUUGACAGCAGCGAUGGUGAUGGAGAUGUUCAGACUGGAGGAGCUCUUGGCUCGCUGCAGCCACCCCAGCAUCCCCAGAGCUCCCUGCUGGCCCUGGAGGAGUCAGAGUGCUCUGUGAUGGAAGAAGAGGAGUCGAGGCUGCUGGAGACAUCUGGGCUCAGUGGCUCCGUGGCAGUGAUGCACUGCAUCAGCUCUUCCAUUUGGCAGCUGUUCGCAG